UUUGGUGACUGGCUUAUUUCACUUAGCAUACUGUCUUUGAGAUUCAUCCAUGAUGAGGCAGCGUGGGUCAGAAUUUCCUUCCUUUUCAAGGUUGAAUAAUAUUCCAUUGCAUGUCUAUUUCACAUUUUGCUUAUUCACUGGUCUGUUGGACACUUCGGUUAUUUCCACAUUUUGGCCACAGUGAACAACACUGCUCUGAACAUGGGUGUGCAAAUAUCUCUUGGAGACCCUGCCUGCACAAUCAACAAAAGACUGGCAAGUUGGAGAAAUCAGAAAAAUAUUCUGCCGAUUCUGUCAGUGUGUCUGUGCUGCUGGAGUCAGGUGAUCUACUAAGGACAAUGUUUUCCUGACUUCUGCGAGCUGCUCUAGCAAAUUAAUCGAACCCCUAGGAGAGAGUCAUGGGUUCUGAUUUAUAGCUGACAGAUCGGAAUCUGCACAGGUGACAACCCGGGACUUACAACUGGCAUCUGAAAGGGAAGCUGGACAGUCUUGCAGGACCGAGCCCUUAACUUGUGGGGUCUGAUCCUCUCACCAGAUGAGAAUACAAAUGCAGGGCACAACGUCUGGCACAGCUUUGAGAUUCAGGCCAUCUUCUCUGGAGUGAAGAGAUGUUCUGCAAAUUUUGGCCGAAUGAGGGUGUGAAUGACUGAACACGGGACCCACCUUUCACUCUCAUUUCGGUGAGAUGGCCUACAAAGUUCCCAGCACGGAGCCGGAGGGUGUGGGGUGCACAGGUGCCUUAACUGGCUCUCAGGGAUGAAUUGGUUUGAAACAACACUAUCGCCUAGGCCACACCUGGCCAGCAGAGCUAGACUUCCUGAUCCGGGCAAAUGCCAACACAAGAGGCCCCAGCAGGCCCAGUGCCAAGGAACUGCCCACUGAUCUCCAGAAAGGUGCAAUGGCUGUGGCCCUGCCUGUCCACUCUCUGUCCUGCCAGCUCAGUGGCUAUCCACGCUGCCCUGGCCUCCUGGGCCCACAGUCUGGGGAAGAAAAAGGAGAAAAAAUCGGGUUCGACCAGAUGACCAAGCUGUUCUUUUAAUCAGUGCUUAUGGAGCCCUAGGGCUGGGGUCAAGAGUUGUGGCCGCAAAGCAGGCCAGGGUGGCUUGUGGUUAAAAGCACAGGCCCUGAAUGUUGGUUCAAAUACUGGCCUGGUGUGUACCAGCUGCUGUGACUGUGGGCCAGGCCAUCUCCCUACCCGAGUCUUAGAUUCCUCACUCACAAAAUGUAAACAAUAAACUACCGUAUGUUAAUCUACAGAUAAUUACUGGUUUGGGGAAAGUGUUUGCCUUUGUAGAACAUAACAAGCAAAAUAAUGACAAUGAAUAUGUAUAUGUCUACAUCUAUAGAUCUCUCUCUAUAUCAUAUGUAGAUAGACAGACACAGAUAUAUAUCACCAUAAUAAGUUUCCAAUUGCCCUCCCUUAAGAAGGACUGGCCUUUAUUCUGAAAUGAUCUUUCUUCUAUUUUUAUUAUCUUGUGGUUGAAAGGGCUAAGGCCCAUUAUUCUUCCAUCCGCUCUGCCUGGAAUCCUUAGCCCACCCACCUGUCUGCCCACAAGACUCCCUCCCUCACCAGCUUCGGAACUUCGCUCAAAUGUCACCUUCUCAAGGGCACCUUCCCUGACCCUUAUUUAAAAUCACAGCCCACCCAUGCUGUGCCCUGUCCCCUUCCCUGACCCGUUUCUCCUCCAUGGUACUUAACACCAGCAGCAUAUCUAUUAGUUAUUUCCUGUUUGGGGCCACUGUUUGACUUUCCCCCACAAGGACAGGGAUUUUUGUCCAGAUCAUUCACAGCUAUAUCCCAGGACCUGAAAUAGUGCCUGGCACAUAGUCGGCCCUCAAUAAAUAUUUAUCAGAUGAAUAAACAAUUGAAUGAGUAUUUGUUUUUUAAUGUGUUCCUUGGGCCAGAUUAAAAGUGAACAACUCAUUCACUUUUUAGCUCCCAAAAUUGGGCAUUGGAAAGGAGAAGAUUUUACUGGUCUGCAAAACCCUUAAAUCACUAAGUAAAUGUAUAUUAAAGUUCUGGCGAAACUCAGUAAAUGGUAAUAACGAUUCCCCUAAUGCUCCUGUGCGCCUCCCCCAUCUCCUCCUUGUUCCUCCCUCCCUCCUCCCUGGGCCUUAUCUAUCCACACCAGGGCUGUCCCCAGUGUGCAGAACUCACUGGAACCUUCUGGCCUCUCAAUUUGCCUAAUUCAUUUAUUUUCUUUAAAGAUCCUGAUUACAGGCCUGGCUUGGGAGAACCAACCAGGCUGUACACAGGCCCGUAACGGAGGCAGGCCUGCCCGGGAGACCGAGGAACCUGUAUUGGCAAAGGCUGUUCAAGCUUUGACUGCGCAGAUGCGCUCAGGUCACAGAGGAAAUCAAUGAAAGGUGUUUGUUAGCUUGAUUAUGUCUCAAUUCUAGGCCUGCUGUUUAGGGAGUCCAGGGGCUCCAUUCUAAGGAUAACCAUGGCCCUGGAGGUGCUGGCACCAGGCAGGAAGGCUUGGGGAAGUUUCUGGAUGACCCUCACUGGUCUGAAGAAGCGUUAGGACCCUGGGCCAGAGCCAGAAGGAAGCUCAGAGACGAAAUAGACUGACUCUGUGGUUGUGCAGCUGGGGCAGGAAUGAAGUGCAGAGACUUCUGGGCCUGACUCAGGAUCUUACUUGGGAAGAAGAAAAUCAGGAACCUGAUGUUUUUUCCCCCGACUCCCUGCCCAGCAUCCUCCUGUCAGGACAAGAGGGAUUUCAGCCCUGGGCCCUGCAGGUCAGAGGACCCCUAUCGGGCCCUCUUCUUGGAGGGGUCUUGGGGGACAAGGGCUUGUGCCCAGCAGGAGCCCAUGCAUGUCCCCUCCAGGUGAUACCUGAGGUUCCCGGGGCUCUGGGAUUCCUGGCUAAAUGUCCCAGCCAGGGGUGGGGGUCCUGUGUGGGCUACUAGCCGGGAAGCCCCUUCCAGGGCAAGGAAACUUGGAGGAUGGGAAGGCAGCUGCCGCAGGCCCGUGUGAAACUGCGACCUUAGGCCUAAUUCCAGGUCAGGAAGCCCUGUCACGUUAGGCAAUAAAACAUAUUUUAGUUAACAGUUUAUCAGCUUGAUUGAUAACUUUUGAAACAUGUAGACUGUGGUUUGUGACCCGAUCUGGGGUGAUGCCCUGCCACCCCGAGUAGCCUCCUGCAGGGCCUGUGGGCGGGGCGAGGCCCCCAGGCUUCUCGGAGGAGGGAGUUGGGAGAAGGGCGUGAGCGUGGUGCGCCCCCACAGGCCUUUUACAGGCCAGAUCUAGGGCUUCUCUGGCAUCACAUUUUUCAGCUGAGGAAACUCAGGAUCACAAGGCUAUGGCCAAGGUCACACGGUCUCCUAGGAACAGAUGGCAAAGGGGCUCUCGCCCGUCCCAAACAGUAAGUUCAUUUUGAAAUGACAAAAGAAAGAGACAGAAAGAGAUGUGUUUGGCUUUCUGGAAGGCCCCUUCAGCUCCUGCAAGCUUUCCUGGUGGGGAAUUUGCUGAGUCCUUGACCUCACCCGCUGGGGUAGGCAGGGGCCAUGUGCCUCUCCUCCUGAUACUGCUAUAGUCUAAUCAUCCACUGCGCUGUGACUUCUCUGGAAGGAGACUGACUUGAAGCAGUGAGGGUGACAACAAAGGAAUAAAAAAACAGCACCAAGAAGAUCCCUUGUGGCACAGCAAAUUAAAGAUCUAUCUGUGUCACUGUAGCGGCUUGAGUCAAUAAAAAAGCGGGUAUGGCCAAUAAAAAAGCAAAAUGGGCACUAGAUGUGCCAAUGGAUCUAAGACACUGGAUUGCCGAGCUUCCCUGGGAGCCCCAAAUCUUCGCUAAGUCAAUUUCUUAUUUACUCUGAGAGAUUUUCUGUUCAGCUGUUUCUGAAGAAAUGACCCAAACCAGAGGUCUCUAUCAGAUUUGGCUCCUCCCCCACUAGAACUUUUUUAUUUUCCCUUCUUGCUUUUCAGGGCUGCGCCUGCGGCAUUUGAAAGUUCCCAGGCUAGGGGGUCCCAUCAGAGCUGUAGCCCCUGACAUACACCACAGUUCAAGGCAACACUGGAUCCUUAACCCCCUGAUUGAGGCCAGGGAUCCAACCCGAAACCUCAUGGUUCCUAGUCGGAUUCGUUUCCACUGAGCCAUGACGGGAACUCCCCCGUGUUAGAACUUCUAACCGCUGGUCCCCUCUCCUUCCGGUUUCCUCUCCUCCCAGCUCCUCUCCCUGUGCCCUGGGCUCCACUCACAGCUCCCUAAGCAAUCUUUUGCUUUGGCACAUGCUCCUUGCCCCGGGCGGCCCUUUCCCUCCGUUCUCCAACCUGCCAGCAAGUCUUUCUUUCAGGAGCCAACUCAGUCCCUGUCCCCCUGGCCUGGCCCCUCCCAGCUGCCCCUAGGCUGUCCCCUGCAAGCCUCCUCUGUACUCGCCAUACCCCGUGCUUCCUUCUAUAAAAGAACUCUGUACUUGGGGGCUGAUCCUUCCCUCUGUCUCCUGGAGUGAUUUGCAAGCAACUGGGGGCAGGGACUCAUGCUCCUUUCUGUCCCUUUGUGCGGCCCAGGCCGGAAUGCAGGGUUGCCAGCUUCUGGGAGCAAGUGGAGCCUCCACGUGCAUGGCGGUUGCCUAAGAAUGAGGUCACCCCACAGACAAGUGGGCCUGAGAGAGGGUGCCAGGAGGGCACCCAGCCUUCCAGCCAUUUGUGACACUCAAAAGGGAUAUCAUGGGAGCGAGACCAACUCCUUCCUCAUGGGAGCCAACAUCGUCAUGGAAAAGCGAAGCUGUAAGCAAUGAAGAAAUAGUAUAUCUUCAGCCAGGGACGAAAUGCUAGGCAGAAAAAGAAAGAGGGUAAGAGGCUGAAGAUUAUUGAGAAGAGGGAUGUUCCGUGCUGGAUGAGGAACCCCUCAGAUGGGAUCGUAUUUGCUGCAAGGAGCAGAAAACCUGGUUCGCCGUAGCCUAGUAUAUAGGAGUUUAUUUAUUUCUUACAAUAGGAUGUCCAAGAGUCUAGUUCAUCUUUCAAGAAGAGCUAGUCAAGAUCCACUACGCUGCCAUUCUAACCCAUCUAUAGGCUGUGAACUGUGGUUUGUGAAGAGUGAAUUGAACUGUGGGAGUGCCCACGUCUGCCUGAGAGAAUCAGGGAGGGCAAAACAGGGAGAAGAUGCUGGUGGUGGAUUUGAACGAUGACGAGGAUUUUUCCAGAUGAGUAAGAGGACGAUCAGAGCUACAUCCUGAAGAACAAGACUGGGCUGAUCCCCAAAGUAUGAGCGAGUGUGGAAGUCUAGGUCUGGAAAGCCCCACAUUGUGCGAUGGUGCUCAGGUGAGAUGUAGGCGGCGCAGGUGGCAAGGCAUGGGACUGGCCACCCAAGCCUUUUGGCCAAGACCAAACCAUAACAGGACCUGAAUGUCAUGUUCAUGGCCUGAGGGCCAGACUAGGAUAGGGGCAUAGCUGGUUAGAAAGAUCACUCUGGCUCUGAUGGAGGAGGCUCUCUCUGGACAGGGAGGCGAGAAGACAGUAUAAUCAAGAGAUGGAACCGAGAAGUCAAAGAGCAAUAAUUGAUUGGGUGUAAUCAAUAGGGUUAGAUGGUUUUGGUUUUGUUUUUGUUUUUCCUGCACAGAGGCACUCCUGCUGCUCAGUGAUGUGUUAUGGAGCUGCAUCUACCCAGAGAAGAUAUCCUUAUCUAAUUCACCCAGACACCUUAGCGGCUGGUGGAAGCCCUUGCCUGUGAUAAUCGAGAGGGGCAGGGACAGUGGCACUUGAGGAAGAGAUGGGGCGCUGAAUGUACGAGAUAGAGUGGAGCAAAGUGACGUGGUCUUGGCGAUCAACUCGAUGUCAGGGACAAGGGAGAUUGAGAGAUGGAAUGGUACUCGUGUACUGGUUAAGCUUAAUCAGGUUUAACCGUACUUCAAACUAACACCAGGGGAUGGAAAACUUUCCCCCUAAAGGAGCAGAGAGAAAAUAGCUUAGACUUUGCAAGCCCUGUGGUCCCUGUUGCAACUGCUGAACUCUGCCAUUAUAACACAAAAGUAGCCAUAGACAAUACGUAAGUGAAUGGGUGUAGCUAUGUUCCAAUAAAACUUUAUUUAUAAAAACAGGCUAGUGGGCCAGAUUUGGCCUGAGGGCUGCUGUUUGCUGACCCUUGCUCUGUGCCAUGAGGUGGCCCAUGCACCAAGUAAUACUGACCAGGUGCAUUAGGUGACUGUUAGGGGAGAGAGGGGCUCAUACCUCAUCAGGUAUAGACCUUAUAUCUCUCCUUGAGUGAUGCCCACCUGAUCACAAAAACUCAUCUGAAAGGGCAGAGUAAUUCUGACAUCUUGCUCUGGGAGCCCAGCUCCGGCAGGACGGAAGCAGACAUCUCAAUGCAGAUGCUCAGUCUCUGUUACAGUCACAGUGGAGGUUCUGGACUGAUAAUUCCAGUGGUUACACAUACAACACGACAGAAACACCAGCUCACCUCCAUUGAAUCCUCACCCUACACCAGACUCUGGGUCAAGGGCUUUACUUGAAUGACCUCCUUUAAUGCUGGCAAAAGUUGGUGAGGCAGAUAUGUACUAUUUUUGUGUGUUUGUUUUGUUUUUUAUCUUUUUUUUUUUUUUUUUUGUCUUUUUUGCUAUUUC